rnacentral:tRNA from 1 species
GGAGGGUACAGCUCAGUGGUAGAGCGUGUGCUUAGCAUGCACGAGGUCCUGGGUUCAACCCCCAGUCCCUCCA